UGCUCUGUGGAUCAGUGGCGAACGGGUGAGUAACACGUGAGCAACCUGCCCCUGACUCUGGGAUAAGCGCUGGAAACGGCGUCUAAUACCGGAUAUGAGCUGCGAUCGCAUGGUCAGCAGUUGGAAAGAUUUUUCGGUCUGGGAUGGGCUCACGGCCUAUCAGCUUGUUGGUGAGGUAAUGGCUCACCAAGGCGUCGACGGGUAGCCGGCCUGAGAGGGUGACCGGCCACACUGGGACUGAGACACGGCCCAGACUCCUACGGGAGGCAGCAGUGGGGAAUAUUGCACAAUGGGCGAAAGCCUGAUGCAGCAACGCCGCGUGAGGGAUGACGGCCUUCGGGUUGUAAACCUCUUUUAGCAGGGAAGAAGCGAAAGUGACGGUACCUGCAGAAAAAGCGCCGGCUAACUACGUGCCAGCAGCCGCGGUAAUACGUAGGGCGCAAGCGUUAUCCGGAAUUAUUGGGCGUAAAGAGCUCGUAGGCGGUUUGUCGCGUCUGCUGUGAAAUCCCGAGGCUCAACCUCGGGUCUGCAGUGGGUACGGGCAGACUAGAGUGCGGUAGGGGAGAUUGGAAUUCCUGGUGUAGCGGUGGAAUGCGCAGAUAUCAGGAGGAACACCGAUGGCGAAGGCAGAUCUCUGGGCCGUUACUGACGCUGAGGAGCGAAAGGGUGGGGAGCAAACAGGCUUAGAUACCCUGGUAGUCCACCCCGUAAACGUUGGGAACUAGUUGUGGGGUCCAUUCCACGGAUUCCGUGACGCAGCUAACGCAU
rnacentral:rRNA from 1 species